UACGUAGGGUGCGAGCGUUGUCCGGAAUUAUUGGGCGUAAAGAGCUCGUAGGCGGUCUGUCGCGUCGAUCGUGAAAACUUGGGGCUUAACCCUGAGCUUGCGGUCGAUACGGGCAUGACUGGAGUUCGGCAGGGGAGACUGGAAUUCCUGGUGUAGCGGUGAAAUGCGCAGAUAUCAGGAGGAACACCGGUGGCGAAAGCGGCGCACUGGACCAUAACUGACGCUGAGGCGCGAAAGCUAGGGGAGCAAACAGG
rnacentral:rRNA from 1 species